rnacentral:rRNA from 1 species
UACGAAGGGACCUAGCGUAGUUCGGAAUUACUGGGCUUAAAGAGUUCGUAGGUUGUUGAAAUAGUUGGUGGUGAAAUCCCAGAGCUUAACUCUGGAACUGCCAUCAAAACUUUUCAGCUAGAGUUUGAUAGAGGAAAGCAGAAUUUCUAGUGUAGAGGUGAAAUUCGUAGAUAUUAGAAAGAAUACCAAUUGCGAAGGCAGCUUUCUGGAUCAUUACUGACACUGAGGAACGAAAGCAUGGGUAGCGAAGAGG